GACAGAGGGUGCAAACGUUGCUCGGAAUUACUGGGCGUAAAGGGCGCGUAGGCGGCCACCGCAAGUCAGUUGUGAAAUCUCUGGGCUUAACCCAGAAAGGUCAACUGAUACUGCGGGGCUAGAGUGCAGAAGGGGCAACUGGAAUUCUCGGUGUAGCGGUGAAAUGCGUAGAUAUCGAGAGGAACACCUGCGGCGAAGGCGGGUUGCUGGGCUGACACUGACGCUGAGGCGCGAAAGCUAGGGGAGCGAACGGG
rnacentral:rRNA from 1 species